rnacentral:rRNA from 1 species
UACGUAGGGGGCAAGCGUUGUCCGGAUUUAUUGGGCGUAAAGAGCGUGUAGGCGGCCAUACAGGUCAGCUGUGAAAACUCGAGGCUCAACCUCGAGACGUCGGUUGAAACCGUAUGGCUAGAGUCCGGAAGAGGAGAGUGGAAUUCCCGGUGUAGCGGUGAAAUGCGCAGAUAUCGGGAAGAACACCCGUGGCGAAGGCGGCUCUCUGGGACGGUACUGACGCUGAGACGCGAAAGCGUGGGGAGCCGAACGAGG